rnacentral:rRNA from 1 species
UACGUAGGGUGCAAGCGUUAAUCGGAAUUACUGGGCGUAAAGCGUGCGCAGGCGGUCUUGCAAGACAAAUGUGAAAUCCCCGGGCUCAACCUGGGAACUGCAUUUGUGACUGCAAGGCUGGAGUACGGCAGAGGGGGAUGGAAUUCCGCGUGUAGCAGUGAAAUGCGUAGAUAUGCGGAGGAACACCGAUGGCGAAGGCAAUCCCCUGGGCCUGUACUGACGCUCAUGCACGAAAGCGUGGGGAGCAAACAGG